rnacentral:rRNA from 1 species
GAUGAACGCUGGCGGCGUGCCUAAUACAUGCAAGUCGAGCGAACGGACGAGAAGCUUGCUUCUCUGAUGUUAGCGGCGGACGGGUGAGUAACACGUGGAUAACCUACCUAUAAGACUGGGAUAACUUCGGGAAACCGGAGCUAAUACCGGAUAAUAUUUUGAACCGCAUGGUUCAAAAGUGAAAGACGGUCUUGCUGUCACUUAUAGAUGGAUCCGCGCUGCAUUAGCUAGUUGGUAAGGUAACGGCUUACCAAGGCAACGAUGCAUAGCCGACCUGAGAGGGGGAUCGGCCACACGGAAACUGAGACACGGUCCAGACUCCUACGGGAGGCAGCAGUAGGGAAUCUUCCGCAAUGGGCGAAAGCCUGACGGAGCAACGCCGCGUGAGUGAUGAAGGUCUGCGGAUCGUAAAACGCUGUUAUUAGGGAAGAACAUAUGUGUAAGUAACUGUGCACAUCUGAACGGUACCGAAGCAGAAAGCCACGGCUAACUACGU